GCCUUGAGAACAAAGCAGAUAGCUCAGUCCAUAGAGCAUGAGUCUCAUAAUCUCCAGGUCAUGGGUUUGAGCCCCAUGUUGGGCA